UUUAGUCAAUAAAUAAAUAAAAAUGAAAUAUGAUAAAAUGAUAGCAGACUUAGCUAUAUUCACAGGUUCAUUUUAUGUGUCCUACAAGGCGAUGAGACGGUUUAUCGACAAAUUUCGGGAAACAGGCGAGAUUAUGGGGAGUGACUAACCAAAAAACAUCGACGAAACAGGAACAGUUUGGAGAAGUAGAAAAAUGGGAACAAAGGACGACCAACCAACGGAUUUCGAAACAAACGGAGCAGUCUGCGAGAAAAAAAGAAAAAUAAUCAAAACCAAGGAUACGUAUUCAGCGGCUGAGGGGGCGGUAUGUGGUAGAAAUAUGGCGGAGAAUACAUGACGUCUUCCAAUCCCGGAGCGAG